UACAGAGGGUGCGAGCGUUAAUCGGAAUUACUGGGCGUAAAGCGUGCGUAGACGGUUAUUUAAGUCGGGUGUGAAAGCCCCGGGCUCAACCUGGGAAUUGCAUUCGAGACUGAAUAGCUAGGGUACGGUAGAGGGAAGCGGAAUUUCCGGUGUAGCGGUGAAAUGCGUAGAAUAUCCGGAGGAACACCGGUGGCGAAGGCGGCUUCCUGGACCGACACUGACG
rnacentral:rRNA from 1 species